rnacentral:rRNA from 1 species
CCUACGGGAGGCAGCAGUGGGGAAUCCUGCGCAAUGGGCGAAAGCCUGACGCAGCAACGCCGCGUGCGGGAAGAAGGCUUUCGGGCUGUAAACCGCUUUCAGCAGGAACGAAAAUGACGGUACCUGCAGAAGAAGGAGCGGCCAACUAUGUGCCAGCAGCCGCGGUGAUACAUAGGCUUCAAGCGUUGUCCGGAUUUAUUGGGCGUAAAGAGUUCGUAGGCGGUCGAGUAAGUCGGGUGUGAAAAUUCUGGGCUCAACCCAGAGACGCCACCCGAUACUGCUUGACUUGAGUUCGAUAGGGGAGUGGGGAAUUCCUAGUGUAGCGGUGAAAUGCGCAGAUAUUAGGAGGAACACCGGUGGCGAAGGCGCCACUCUGGAUCGAUACUGACGCUGAGGAACGAAAGCAUGGGUAGCAAACAGGAUUAGAUACCCUGGUAGUCCAUGCCGUAAACGGUGGGCACUAGGUGUGGGUUUCUAUUAACGAAAUCCGCGCCGUCGCUAACGCAUUAAGUGCCCCGCCUGGGGAGUACGGUCGCAAGACUAAAACUCAAANANAUGCGCGNGAGAGNGCGAGACGACGACGAGGAGAG